rnacentral:ncRNA from 1 species
AUAUCGGUGGCCGCAGGGCCUCAAUAGGGAACCGAGUGAGAUUCUCGGACAGUACCCGCUGCUGUGAGUUCUUGCAGCGUCUGUUAGAAAGGCCACUGGCCUCGAUGAAUGUAGGCUGGGAAGGCAACAGGCGUAGGGAAUGAGUCAGAAGACCUGCCGAAAGUGU